GGAAAACAAGGACAUUGACUCAGUAUCAAGUCAUUCCAAAGUGGUGGAUUCUGUGGUAUUUAUUCUCUGUGUGUGGAACGUUUACAAUUAAAAAAAAAAAAAAAAGCCCACACCAUUCCCACAAAGUCUUCUAUUUGCUGAAAGGAAACAUGUCGUUGGGCAGAAGAGCACUAAAGAAAAAGCAGAGACUAAAACCAACCUAAGACAACACUUAUGCCAGGACACCUGUACCACAAGGAGCUCAGGUUACACUGGAGAAGGGAAGAACGUAAGAAGUCCUGCCAUGUUCCUCUUGGCUUGAGUGGCCACCUCCUGAGACGCUGCCCUGUGGCAUAUGCUGAUGCAUUACUGGGUCCUUACGCCUGACAGCGCAGUGGUUAUGAGAAAUAUGUAUGGUUUUCCUUUCAUAUGAUGUAGUAGAAUAUUGCCAAUAAAAGGCACUUUUCACCCAC
rnacentral:lncRNA from 1 species